rnacentral:SRP_RNA from 1 species
UGUUGGGUCUCACGCAACGUAGCUUUGUGAAACCCGUCAGAUCCGGAAGGAAGCAGCGGUAACAAAUUACUAUGUGUGCUGUGAGUUACCCAACAACU